ensembl:misc_RNA Metazoa_SRP Metazoan signal recognition particle RNA
GCUGGGUGUGGUGGCGCACGCUUGUAAUCCCAGCUACUCGGGAGGCUGAGGCAGGAGAAUCGCUUGAACCUGGGAGAUGGAGGUUGCAGUGAGCCAAGAUCGUGCCACUGCACUCCAGCCUGGGUGACAGAGCGAGACUCCGUCUCAA